rnacentral:rRNA from 1 species
GACGAACGCUGGCGGCGUGCCUAAUACAUGCAAGUUGAGCGCUGAAGGUUGGUACUUGUACCAACUGGAUGAGCAGCGAACGGGUGAGUAACGCGUGGGGAAUCUGCCUUUGAGCGGGGGACAACAUUUGGAAACGAAUGCUAAUACCGCAUAAAAACUUUAAACACAAGUUUUAAGUUUGAAAGAUGCAAUUGCAUCACUCAAAGAUGAUCCCGCGUUGUAUUAGCUAGUUGGUGAGGUAAAGGCUCACCGAGGCGAUGAUACAUAGCCGACCUGAGAGGGUGAUCGGCCACAUUGGGACUGAGACACGCCCCAAACGCAUUCGGGAGGCAGCAGUAGGGAAUCUUCGGCAAGGGACGAAAGUCUGUCCGAGCAACGCCGAGUGAGGGAAGAAGGAUUUCGGAUCGUAAAACUCUGUUGGUAGAGAAGAACGUUGGUGAGAGUGGAAAGCUCAUCAAGUGACGGUAACUACUCAGAAAGGGACGGCUAACUACGUG